rnacentral:pre_miRNA from 1 species
UUUGAGAUAUAUAGUGAGUAGCCGACUUGGGGAAGUGAUCAACACUUGGGAUAAAAUUAAAUUUGCUUCUUUUUACCCCAAAAACUUUUUACCGUUGGUAAAAAGAAUCUUCUUCGGGGUAUAAAAAGAACCAGAUUUAGAUUUAACUCAAGGGUUGAUGAUGUCUUUUCCCCCAAGAAGGCUGCUCACUAUUUACCCCAAG